ensembl:misc_RNA Metazoa_SRP Metazoan signal recognition particle RNA
GCUGGGUGUGGUGGUGGACACCUGUAGUCCCAGCUACUCAGGAGGCUGAGGCAGGAGAAUCGCUUGAACCCAGGAGGUGGAGGUUGCAGUGAACUGUGAUCACAUCAUUGCACUCCAGCGUGGGUGACAGAGCGAGACUCUGCCUCUU